AUUGAAUGCUGGCGGCAUGCCUUACACAUGCAAGUCGAACGGAUUCAAGAGGCUUGCUUCUUGAGUUAGUGGCGAACGGGUGAGUAAAGCAUCGGAACGUACCCAGUUGUGGGGGAUAACGUAGCGAAAGUUACGCUAAUACCGCAUACGCACUGAGGUGGAAAGCGGGGGACCGAAAGGCCUCGUGCAAUUGGAGCGGCCGAUGUCGGAGUAGCUGGUGGGUGAGGUAAAGGCUCACCAAGGCGACGAUCCGUAGCUGGUCUGAGAGGACGACCAGCCACACUGGAACUGAGGCACGGUCCAGACUCCUACGGGAGGCAGCAGUGGGGAAUUUUGGACAAUGGGCGAAAGCCUGAUCCAGCCACGCCGCGUGAGUGAAGAAGGCCUUCGGGUUGUAAAGCUCUUUCAGACGGAAAGAAAUCUUUCGGGUGAAUAUCCCGGAAGGAUGACGGUACCGUAAGAAGAAGCACCGGCUAACUACGUGCCAGCAGCCGCCGUAA
rnacentral:rRNA from 1 species